AGUGGCUCCAGAAAGCAGCAGAAUGAGAAUUGCCUGUGUCCCUGUGAAUGUCCAGAGCAAAGAGGUGGGUCUUAAGAAGCUGCUUUAGACAGAAAAACAGACAGUACUGGAAUGAAAGUCCCCAAGGUAAUUGAUUAGUUGUCCCCACUGACUGAAGCUAUCCACCGUGGAUUGAAAAGCUGAAACAUCAGGUGACAUGUUUUCACUUCAACAGUCUGCUGGCCAGUUUCUAAGUUAAGCACAGGGAAGAGAAUGAAAAAAAGAAUCAAAGGAAUGACCCUUUGCAUCUGUUUAGCUGGCCAUGACUAGGUCUCCCACAUUUUUCACUCUCAAGGGGAGAUAAAGCAAGAAAAUAUUGAGUCAAUGCUGCCAGGAAUUAUCAACCUUUAAGAAAAUUAGAGGAUAUUUUUUCCCACUGGAGGAGACAAAGAGUGGGAACUCAAUUAUUCAAAAGUCUUCAGAUCCCUAAGGACUAGAACCUGAGUGAAGAUGUAAAGAUUUGUUGACCCAAAUCUUCCAAUUCUGGAUGAGAAGAGGUCAGGAAGACUUUCCAAAAAGACUUCAAGGUUUCUACAUGGUCUCAUGUAGGAAAACUACCAUAUCAAGUCUUACCAAUGGAUUGUAAUCAAAGAAUACCCAAGUAUUUACAUCAUAAAGGUUAUCAGGAGAGAAGGCUGCACUCUGGCACUGCUGCAGGAGAGACUACGCAGCUUCACCCUUGUAUCCGAAGCUACACUGAGAAAAAUACAGGAUCAUGGUAGUCAAGAACUUACAUAUUGCUGGAAUCAGCAGCUCUGAUCAGCUGGAAAGUAGCCAUGAAGAACACAAUCUAUCAAAAGCCUGCUGCUAUCCCUGAGGCUUUUAUGACCCAUAUAAACAUACUUAGGUGCAUUAAAAAUUAAGGAAUCAUAACAUUAUAUUGUUUCUUUGAAUUGAUGACAAAGAUAUACUUAGAGGAACUAUGAUGAGUGCUUGAGUAAUAAGUAAAUAAACAAUGUCGCAGUAGGAACAAGUAGCUUGUGAUGCAAAUGUUAUUGUUGUGUCUUAUGGCUUUUGUUCCUUUAUACUUUAAUAAUUUUGGGAAGAAAAAACCCAAUCACAUUAAGAAAAAGUUAGGCUUCAAGUAGCAUGUAAAUUACAUCCUGAGAGAUGUUCAUAUCGAAGCACUUAAUCUUUCAGAGAAAUCCUCAGCCAUCUGUUUGCCUUAGGAUCAGAGAGAUGGCUGAAAAGGAGUAGAGAAUACACCUCAGAUUAAUUUACAGUGCUCCCAUUUGCAAUCAGACCUAAUAUGCAGCCCAAAUGCUUAUGUCUGUUUUCCUACCAUAGAAAACAUGCCCCUAAAUCAGAAAACAGUGAAAUUCCCUCUAAGAAAAACCAAACCACGAAAUCUGUGUUCACAGAUUCACAACACUAGAUGAGAAUGUUUGUUCUCUCAGCACACAUCUUCUAUGCAGCACAUUUUUCCUCCACUCUCACUUAUCUCUUGCUUGAAGACUGCAAGGGAGUACUCAGCGAAGGUCUAACACCAAACUUAGCAUCACAAUUGCCUUCACUAGAAGCCACUUUAUAAAAUUUUCAUAAAGCAGCACCACAGUUUCUGUAGCUCUGGCUCCUGUGAAAUUUCAGACUUUAUUUUCUUCUCCUUUUAGAGUGAAGUCACAUAGUUCAUAGGGACACUGUGUGAGAAAGCCUAGAUUUUCCCCUAAAUAUGCAGGUAAAUCUAAGAAAUAGAGCACUGUACAUGGGUCUAGGCUAUCCAUAUAUU